rnacentral:rRNA from 1 species
GGGGGGACAGGGUUGACAGGUGGUGCAUGGUUUGUCGUCAGCUCGUGUCGUGAGAUGUUGGGUUAAGUCCCGCAACGAGCGCAACCCUCGACCUUAGUUGCCAGCAUUCAGUUGGGCACUCUAAGGUGACUGCCGGCUAAAAGUCGGAGGAAGGUGGGGAUGACGUCAAAUCAUCAUGCCCCUUAUGACCUGGGCUACACACGUGCUACAAUGGGCGGUACAAAGGGUCGCGAACCCGCGAGGGGGAGCCAAUCCCAAAAAGCCGCUCUCAGUUCGGAUUGCAGGCUGCAACUCGCCUGCAUGAAGCCGGAAUCGCUAGUAAUCGCGGAUCAGCAUGCCGCGGUGAAUACGUUCCCGGGCCUU